rnacentral:tRNA from 1 species
CGGGGUAUAGUUUAGUGGCAGAAUGCGCGCCUGGGGGGCGUGCGGUCUAGGUUCGAUUCCUAGUACCCCGACCA